GAUGAACGCUGGCGGCGUGCCUAAUACAUGCAAGUCGAGCGAACGGACGAGAAGCUUGCUUCUCUGAUGUUAGCGGCGGACGGGUGAGUAACACGUGGAUAACCUACCUAUAAGACUGGGAUAACUUCGGGAAACCGGAGCUAAUACCGGAUAAUAUUUUGAACCGCAUGGUUCAAAAGUGAAAGACGGUCUUGCUGUCACUUAUAGAUGGAUCCGCGCUGCAUUAGCUAGUUGGUAAGGUAACGGCUUACCAAGGCAACGAUGCAUAGCCGACCUGAGAGGGUGAUCGGCCACACUGGAACUGAGACACGGUCCAGACUCCUACGGGAGGCAGCAGUAGGGAAUCUUCCGCAAUGGGCGAAAGCCUGACGGAGCAACGCCGCGUGAGUGAUGAAGGUCUUCGGAUCGUAAAACUCUGUUAUUAGGGAAGAACAUAUGUGUAAGUAACUGUGCACAUCUUGACGGGACCUAAUCAGAAAGCCACGGCUAACUACG
rnacentral:rRNA from 1 species